AGUGAACGCUGGCGGUAGGCCUAACACAUGCAAGUCGAACGGCAGCACAGGAGAGCUUGCUCUCUGGGUGGCGAGUGGCGGACGGGUGAGGAAUACAUCGGAAUCUACUCUGUCGUGGGGGAUAACGUAGGGAAACUUACGCUAAUACCGCAUACGACCUACGGGUGAAAGCAGGGGACCUUCGGGCCUUGCGCGAUUGAAUGAGCCGAUGUCGGAUUAGCUAGUUGGCGGGGUAAAGGCCCACCAAGGCGACGAUCCGUAGCUGGUCUGAGGGGAUGAUCAACCACACUGAAACUGAGACACGGGCCAGACGCCUACGGGAGGCAGCAGUGGGGAAUAUUGGACAAUGGGCGCAAGCCUGAUCCAGCCAUACCGCGUGGGUGAAGAAGGCCUUCGGGUUGUAAAGCCCUUUUGUUGGGAAAGAAAUCCAGCUGGCUAAUACCCGGUUGGGAUGACGGUACCCAAAGAAUAAGCACCGGCUAACUUCGUGCCGGCCGCCGCAGUAA
rnacentral:rRNA from 1 species